UACGUAGGGUGCAAGCGUUGUCCGGAAUUAUUGGGCGUAAAGAGCUCGUAGGCGGUCUGUCGCGUCGAUCGUGAAAAACUUGGGGCUUAACCCUGAGCUUGCGGUCGAUACGGGCAUGACUGGAGUUCGGCAGGGGGAGACUGGAAUUCCUGGUGUAGCGGUGAAAUGCGCAGAUAUCAGGAGGAACACCGGUGGCGAAGGCGGGUCUCUGGGCCGAUACUGACGCUGAGGAGCGAAAGCGUGGGGAGCGAACAGG
rnacentral:rRNA from 1 species